CUCAGUAACGGCGAGUGAAGCGGCACAGCUCAAAUUUGAAAUCUGGCCCUUGGGUCCGAGUUGUAAUUUGUAGAGGAUGUUUUGGGUACCGCCGCGGUUUAAAUUUCUUGGAACAGAAUGUCAGAGAGGGUGAGAGUCCCGUCUGGAACUGCGGUAGGGCCUGGGUAAAACUCCUUCGACGAGUCGAGUUGUUUGGGAAUGCAGCUCAAAAUGGGUGGUAAAUUUCAUCUAAAGCUAAAUAUUGGCCAGAGACCGAUAGCGCACAAGUAGAGUGAUCGAAAGAUGAAAAGCACUUUGAAAAGAGAGUUAAACAGUAUGUGAAAUUGUUGAAAGGGAAGCGCUUGCAACCAGACUUGUGUGUGGCGGUUCCCCCUUGCUUCUGCUUGGGCUACUCCGUCAUGUUCAGGCCAACAUCGGUUCCAGGGGUCGGUUAAAGGCCCUGGGAAUGUACCUACCUCCGGGUAGACUUAUAGCCCAGGGUGUCAUGCGGCCUCCCGGGACCGAGGAACACGCUUCGGCGAGGAUGUUGGCGUAAUGGUUGUCAGCGACCCGUCUUGAAACACGGACCAAGGAGUCUAACAUCUAUGCGAGUGUUUGGGUGUCAAACCCGUGCGCGAAAUGAAAGUGAACGGAGGUAGGAAGCCUUUAGGCUGCACUAUCGACCGAUCCUGAUAUUUAUGGAUGGAUUUGAGUAAGAGCAUAGCUGUUGGGACCCGAAAGAUGGUGAACUAUGCCUGAAUAGGGUGAAGCCAGAGGAAACUCUGGUGGAGGCUCGCAGCGGUUCUGACGUGCAAAUCGAUCGUCAAAUUUGGGUAUAGGGUAAGUUGCAAUCACCGAUUCUUGUUGUUGAACAAUCACUAACGAUCAAACAGGGCGAAAGACUAAUCGAACCAUUGCCACGACAAGCACGAAGAAAAACAUAUCGUGCAGUCAGUUACUAGGUGGUUAAGUGUAGCCUAAAAGUGGCUGCAAGUGCCUGAUUCUGGCGCGACACUGCUAAAUUGCGGGGACAUCCUAAAGCUAUUGUUACCAAGCUGACCUCUGAAAGGGGGCGGUGGCCGGGGUAAUGACCUAGGGUAUGGUAAAAACACAAUAGAUGUGACAAUGGACAAUCCGCAGCCAAGUCCUAAGGGCCAAGUGCCUAUGGAUGCAGUUCACAGACUAAAUGGCAGUGGGCUUCAAGGCACCGAACUUGGGGCUUAAGAUAUAGUCGGACCCCGGGGAAAGCCCGGGCGCAUACGCUAAAUCUGUGGUAUAGAAUAACCUCUUGCGGGGGGGAUAUCACAGACCCGAACGGUGCGGGCACUCCUCUCAGGGGAGUGUCGGUCAACGCUGGUAGCUGGUUCCUGCCGAAGUUUCCCUCAGGAUAGCAGUAACGUUUUCAGUUUUAUGAGGUAAAGCGAAUGAUUAGAGGCCUUGGGGUUGAAACAACCUUAACCUAUUCUCAAACUUUAAAUAUGUAAGAAGCCCUUGUUACUUAAUUGAACGUGGGCAUUUGAAUGUAUCGUUACUAGUGGGCCAUUUUUGGUAAGCAGAACUGGCGAUGCGGGAUGAACCGAACGAGAGGUUAAGGUGCCGGAGUGCACGCUCAUCAGACACCACAAAAGGUGUCAAUGCAUCUAGACAGCCGGACGGUGGCCAUGGAAGUCGGAAUCCGCUUAGGAGUGUGUAACAACUCACCGGCCGAAUGCAUUGGCCCUGAAAAUGGAUGGCGCUUAAGCGUGUCACCUAUACCUCUCCGUAGCCGUUUACUGGAAGCGGCUACGAGUAGGCAGGCGUGGAGGUGCGUGA
rnacentral:rRNA from 1 species